rnacentral:rRNA from 1 species
AUGGGCGCACGGAUGAGGCUGAUAAUCCAGGCAGCAGCACUGAUUAGUGUGAUUCAGGCAUGGGUCAUGUUCAUGCACCAGAGAGCUGUUCGUCGUGCUGGGAGACUGUUGAUCCGCUAUGGUCCAUUGUUUCCCCGGGAACAGGAGAGGAUCCAAAAUCUGAACUACAUCUACAACUGCAAUGACGUCGAGGCUCUGUGGAUGCUUAGAAUGAAAAGAGCACCAUUUGCCAGGCUUGUCGAGACCUUCAGGAACAGGGGCCUGUUACAAGAUAGCAUCAACACCGGUGUCGAAGAGCAAGUGGCCAUGUUCCUCCAUGUUGUUGGCCAUAACCAAAGGUUCAGGGUCAUUCACAACAUGUUCAGGAGAUCAAUAGAGACCAUCUCUAGGUACUUCAAGCAGGUGCUUUUUGCUGUUGGGGAGCUUAUAGGAGAGAUGAUAAGGAGACCAUCUGGCCAGACUCCACCCAAGAUUCGCGGAAGGCCAAGAUGGUAUCCAAACUUCAAGGUGAGCAUUGACAAUAUACACUUUUCAUGGCUUGAUAUGCUUGUAUUGUUCAAGUUCAGCAUUAACACAGGCUAG